rnacentral:lncRNA from 1 species
UUCAAAAAAUAGACGCACGGGAUUAAGUUCCAACAAACAGAUAUUAACAGGACAAAGGUGAAAUAGUAGAAAGAAGAAAAUCGACGCAAUAUAUCUUAGGUAUAAAAACAAUUCUUCUUUGGCAAAGAAGAAGUAUGCCUUUGCAUGUAUACCUUGCCAAAUAAAUCAAUCAAUGAUAUUGCACUAACAAUAAUCAAAAUAUAAUUUAUUAAGCCGACAAGGCAACAUAGACAAAUAGGCGACAACAUUCAAAUCAAUAUUUUGCCAACAAGGCAAUAACUAGAGAGAUGGGGACAUUUACUUACUAGGGUGUAUUAAAGCUUUUGCUCUUCCUAUGUGUUUGUGGAAUUAAGCCUGUUGACACUUGACAAUUAAGCCUGUUGAUAAAUGACAAUGAAGAAGAAUUUCGCAUUAAAAUUUAGAAUGAACUUUUAGUCCACUCUUUUAAUUCAUAUUGUAACUUAAGAAAAAUAAGGUCAUCAAACGGAAGUACAUAUAAUGGUAUUUCACUUUCACCUUUCAGCUCCCACUUAAAGCUUGAUGUAACCUUUUUUCCACUAUUCUACUUUUUUGUUCAUUGCUAAUCUAUGUAGAAUCAAAUUGGGUGUAUUGAUGCUUUUGCUUUUCCUAUGUGUCUGUAGAAUUAAGCUUGUUGACACUUGACAAUUAAGCUUGUUGACACUUGACAAUGAAGAAGAAUUCCACAUUAAAAUUUAGCAUGAACUUUUAGUUCACUCUUUUAAUUCAUAUUGUAACUAAAGAAAAAUAAGGUCAUCAAACGGAAGUACAUAAAAUGGUAUUUCACUUUCGCCUUUCGGCUCCCACUUAAAGCUUGAUGUAACCUUUUUUUCAGUAUUCUACUUUUUUGUUCAUUGCUAAGCUAUGACGAAUCAAAUAUUUUAAUUUUAGUUCCCAUGGCUAAAAAUAAGUGCUCUUUAUCUAGUAACGCAGAACUAGGUCCACUAAGAGGAAUAUUCUGGCCUGUUCACAAGGCUGAAUAGUCCCCUUCUAUUCUAAAAAAAAAAAAAUGCAACAGAAAACUCAAUCAGCUCAUGGUUCAUCUUAUUCCCUGUUUAACAGUCAGUUAAGAUUCCCCCCAACCAUUCUUAAGAACUAUUUUCAGACUAUAUAACUGGAAAGGUUUUUGAGCAAUUUCUCUUCCCAGCCGAAUCAGCAGGGCCGAUUUUCAAGACUCUGUUCAUUAUCACUAGAAUAGAGUAAUAAAUGGUGCCUACCCACAUUUCCAAAAGUUAAGUACGCACACACUUUCAUGGUGCUGUAUUGAAUAAAAGUUGAAACAAAUUUAUGAUCAACAUAAAAUUUUUACGAGACAAAAUUAUGGCAAGUAAGAAUCAGGGAAAAGGCUAGAAAAUCGAAAAUCAUAACGAUUAGAGAAAUAUUAGUGUUGCUUAAAGUAGUUGCAAAAUGGAGUUACAUUACGACAAAUCUCGUGACCAUGCCCUAAAAUAACAUCUAACGCAUCAUCAAAUGCCUAUGGAUCAAUACAUACACCUAUUUGGUGCACAAGUUUCCUUGAACUACAAGUGUUAAAAAAAAAUUAAAGGUUUCAUCAUUUGCAAGUAUCAAACGUGGUCCGCAUUAUGUGGAUUAGGGCAUUCAAUUGCAUCCUUGAAGAUCAU